rnacentral:lncRNA from 1 species
ACUUCCGGUCCCGCCGCCGGGAGCCGGUGCGGCUGUGAGGGGCCGCGUCUCGCAGCAGCCGCCCGGACCGGGCAUGGUGUUGGGCGCCGGGCCCGCCUCGCCUGUCUCGGGGAGCCCAGGGUAAAGGCAGCAGUAAUGCUAACGCUAGCAAGUAAACUGAAGCGUGACGAUGGUCUCAAAGGGUCCCGGACGGCAGCCACAGCGUCCGACUCGACUCGGAGGGUUUCUGUGAGAGACAAAUUGCUUGUUAAAGAGGUUGCAGAACUUGAAGCUAAUUUACCUUGUACAUGUAAAGUGCAUUUUCCUGAUCCAAACAAGCUUCAUUGUUUUCAGCUAACAGUAACCCCAGAAUUUGGCUGGUGUGAUGCUUCUUUGCUUACUGUGCCUACUGAGUAGGCCACCCCAUCAUCUGAUACAGAGACACCUGAUCUGUUCUCACAUUGGUCUGUCCCCUGCCUUAAAUGUAACUCCAAGUCAGAUUCUCUCGUGGGAUGCUCAGGCUUCCUGAAAUGAGGGUUACUACCAGGGUGGAAAAUUUCAGUUUGAAACUGAAGUUCCCGAUGCGUACAACAUG